UCGUUGGGAAUUGAACACCCAAAGGCGAAAUAAAAGUGAAGAAAGCAUUUUUGCUUUAUUAUUUAUUUAGGGAGGAUGAGAAGCGUUGUUUCAAUUUUUUUGGAAUAAUUUUCUCCGCACUCCCGGGGCGUCUCUAUUUCAUUGCGAAAGGAGGCGCACCAAGAGCGUACACGUUGGGACCCGAAAGAUGGUGAACUAUGCCUGGCCAGGACGAAGCCAGGGGAAACCCUGGUGGAGGUCCGUAGCGAUUCUGACGUGCAAAUCGAUCGUCAGAGCUGGGUAUAGGGGCGAAAGACUAAUCAAACCAUCUAGUAGCUGGUUCCCUCUGAAGUUUCCCUUAGGAUAGCUGCCAUCCAUGAUUGAGACGAAUCUCAUCUGGUAAAGCGAAUGAUUAGAGGCCUUGGGGUCGAAACGACCUCAACCUAUUCUCAAACUUUAAAUGGGUGAGAACCCAGGCUUGCUUAACAAAAUUUAUUUUGUGAAGCCUGGGCUCGGAUC
rnacentral:rRNA from 1 species